UCUGAGUACCUGGAGUUUCUAGCCCAGCAAUUAAAUACUACACCAACAACAUUCCCAGUAACCACAAGUAUUACCGGUAAACAGUGUGCUGGAGGUUACCAAAGCUGUGAAGCCAUGGUGUGUUGUUUGGAUUCAAUGUUCCCUAAAGUGUGUGUACCAACUCCCAGCGGGAAAUUUUGUGUCGACGAAUCUUUAAGGCCUACCACCACAACAUGGCACCCUCUGAUGCUGCUGUAGCCGGAUAACUGUGGUUCUGUCAACAGCUUCAUCAAACAAACAAAAUUCCACUGAGAGACUACAGGGUCCUGUGACAAAGUGCACUAUCCUAAUUAACUUAAAGUCACUGUCCUUUUAUUAUUGCUGAUGUAAAAAGAAAUAGAUGAACAU
rnacentral:sRNA from 1 species